UACGUAGGGGGCAAGCGUUGUCCGGAAUUAUUGGGCGUAAAGAGCGCGUAGGCGGUCCGGUAAGUCGGUUGUGAAAGUCGGGGGCUCAACCCUCGGAUGCCGAUCGAUACUGUCGGGCUAGAGUCCGGAAGAGGCGAGUGGAAUUCCUGGUGUAGCGGUGAAAUGCGCAGAUAUCAGGAAGAACACCAAUGGCGAAGGCAGCUCUCUGGGACGGUACUGACGCUGAGACGCGAAAGCGUGGGGGAGCGAACAGG
rnacentral:rRNA from 1 species